AGGUUUGCACGUUGUUAUGGACUUUUGAAGCUGGAACACUGGCCAAUUUUACAAGGCUCCCAUCUGAAGUUUUUUCACUAUUGAUAAAGAUGUGUUGAAGAAUGCUCCCAGAUAAUGCUGCCGAGUUGAAGUCUGGACUAAUUACGUAAGUGCCACUGUUCUAUUGUGUUUUGUGAUACGUUAUUGCUUCUGUAGACACUAGAUGUUGUCAGAAGAAUGAACUAAAGAUAAAGCAACAGUUUCCUGUUGCGGGAUAUCUUCGAGAUGAAAAAGAGCCCUUGUAAUGUGUACAGCACACUGUAAGCUGUUGACUGACUUCAUAGUACGCCGGUAAGAUUAUUCACAGUGGACAGUGGUGUGUUCUUCUUUUAAUCUUCUAACUCUUCUUCAGAUGUUGCAAAACUCAAGAUUUCUUUAUUGGCAUGCCGAGUUGGAGUCUGGAUGUGUUAGAUUGAAGUUUUUAGACGAAUGAUAAAGAGAAUGCAACAAUUGCCUGCUGGCGAGCUAUCUCGGAGAUGAAGAACGGCCCUUCAAGCUGUUCACUGACUUCAUAGUACGCCGAGUCUAUCUUUGUGCACAAAAACAAGACAAAUAUAAAUACAUGCCACCGUGGGGAUGUGAAGACACGGAUAUGAUAAUGAGAGACAUAAUGUAGCUGAACAGAAAUUAAUAUAUAUGU